GGAAGUACAGCUCAAUGGCAGAGCAUGUGCUUAGCAUCCACAAGGUCCUAGGUUCAGUCCCCGGUACUGCCA
rnacentral:tRNA from 1 species